rfam:Brachypodium distachyon strain Bd21 chromosome 4, whole genome shotgun sequence.
GUCCCUUCGGGGACAUCCGAUAAAAUUGGAACAAAGCGGAGAAAAUUAGCAUGCCCCCGCGCAAGGAUGACACGCACAAAUCGAGAAAUGAUCCUUUUUUUU